rfam:Hordeum vulgare subsp. vulgare, WGS project CAJW01000000 data, contig: morex_contig_99079
UUAGUACUCCCUCCGUUCUAAAAUUUUAUCUUUGAUUUGUCUAAAAAUAGAUGUAUCUAAAUACUAAUACAUGACUAAAUACAUUCAUGUCUAGACAAAUCAAAGACAAGAAUUUUGAGACGGAGGGAGUAUCUG